rnacentral:rRNA from 1 species
GUGUCAGCCGCCGCGGUAAUACGUAGGGGGCUAGCGUUGUCCGGAUUUAUUGGGCGUAAAGAGCGCGUAGGCGGCUAGGUAAGUCCGACGUGAAAUCUGGAGGCUCAACCUCCAGCGGUCGUUGGAAACUACUUGGCUAGAGUCCGGAAGAGGAGAGUGGAAUUCCUGGUGUAGCGGUGAAAUGCGCAGAUAUCAGGAAGAACACCGAUGGCGAAAGCAGCUCUCUGGGACGGUACUGACGCUGAGGCGCGAAAGCGUGGGGAGCGAACAGGAGGAUAAACCCUAGGAUUAC